CCUACGGGUGGCAGCAGUCGAGAAUCAUUCACAAUGGGGGAAACCCUGAUGGUGCGACGCCGCGUGGGGGAAUGAAGGUCUUCGGAUUGUAAACCCCUGUCAUGUGGGAGCAAAUUAAAAAGAUAGUACCACAAGAGGAAGAGCCGGCUAACUCUGUGCCAGCAGCCGCGGUAAUACAGAGGUCUCAAGCGUUGUUCGGAAUCACUGGGCGUAAAGCGUGCGUAGGCUGUUUCGUAAGUCGGGUGUGAAAGGCGCGGGCUCAACCCGCGGACGGCAGAUGAUACUGGGGGACUAGAGUAAGGGAAAGGGAACCGGAAUUCUCGGUGUAGCAGUGAAAUGCGUAGAUAUCGAGAAGAACACUCAUGGCGAAGGCAGGUUCCUGGAGAGGAACUGACGCUGAGGCACGAAGGCCAGGGGAGCGAAAGGGAUUAGAUACCCUGGUAGUC
rnacentral:rRNA from 1 species